UACAGAACCAAACUGGUAAACCGGUAAACUUGUACCUUUCAGAGAAGCAGGGCCCCUGCAUAAGGAAGACAUGCAAAUUCAUGACGCAUUCGAUGUUUUU
ensembl:snRNA U6 U6 spliceosomal RNA